rnacentral:piRNA from 1 species
UUCCAAGUUGUUAGUAUUUCGUCGGGCC